AAGGCGUAUGUUUGGUGGCCCUGCCAGGCAGGGGGGUUGGAACUUCAUGAUCCUUGAGGUCCCUUCCAACCCGGGUCAUUCUGUGAUUCUGUGAAGGCAUUCUACUUAGUAUGUGAUUUUGUUGUAGAAGUGAAUUUUCACGUCUAGAGUUUUAAAGCCAGUUGGAAUAUUGAAGUUUACUUAGGUGUGUGAUCUACAGAAGAUGGAAACUGUUGAUAAAUGAGGAAAGAAACUUAAAACCAGUUAUAAUGUUCUGUUGAUGGAGUGAAUGUGGAACUUUUUCUUUAUACAGUGAAAGAUGCGUUUGGGAGGGAGUGAAAACUGAGUCAGUUUAAGGAAAAUGAUGGGCAAAUCGAGUACCUCGGGAUCUUUAUUUAUCUUGUGAGGUAUCUGACAUAGUACUAAAAGAGAAGCUUCGAGGGGGUGAGAUUAACAACAUCUAAAUUAGCACUGUUAUAGGCAUGUUCAAGAAGGUGAACUUCUUCCUGACUUAUGUUUUUCUCUUCUCCUAAGCAGUUUAUUCCUACAGGAAAGCCACAAAAGCAGUUCCCAUGCUGCUUAUAUAUUAGUUCUUUCCCAGGAUGGCCAUCAGGAAUAGGGGAGAUGCUCACGUGCAAUGGCCCUUUCACAGUUAAACUCCUCUGCUUCUGGAGGAGCAAAUGGUGAAAGGAAGAUUGAAGUGAUGGGGAAGGAAUGAUGUAAGGCCUUGGUCAACAUCGGGACAGAGGAGUGGAAAGUGCUUGGGCUGUGCAGCUGUAUAUUGCAAGAAAAGAAAUGUCCUGUUUUACUUUCAUGUUCCUGUUGAAAUAAGAAGAAAGUUCUGUCUCCUUACCUCUGGGAAUGGUAAAAAUCUUAUUGGCUGACUUGAUUAUCUAAAUUGCUUAUACGUGUUCAUUCUUUCUGCAAAAUCAUGAGCUCUUAUCUUGUUGUGCUGUCAUGAAGCUGGUAAAUGCUGCCCUCGUUCAACAAAUGAAAAAUACUGAGAUUAGGGAUAAGAACUUACCCAAGGCUUUUUGCUAUGUAGAAUUUAACUACGUGUGAUCUGAGAAAUACACAGUGUGUUUGUAAAUCUGAAAAUAAAUAUGAAGUCUCAAUCAAAUGAACUGCUCACAGAGGUCUUGGGGUUAGUGGUUUAGUUUGCGUGCAGCCACCUGGCACUGUGCUGUCCAUUGAAACACUUGAUGGCAGCUGUACCUAAAAGCUCAGUCAUGUGCACUGCCUUCUUUCAGCAUCUUUGUAGCACCGUGUUAACCAUUUAGAGAGGCUUCCUUUAGAAAUCAGGCCAGGAAACUGGCUGCUAUAUCCAAUGAGAGGCUUGGAACACUCCGACUUGUCCGUAACUUGGCAUUUAUAAGCUCUGUUGACACACUGUUCCACGAGUAAUGAAGAAACUCUAAUGAUAUAAGUAAUACUUAGCUGUGUUGAAGAAGUCUCAGAAGUCAUUUAGAUGCCUUGGAUUAAAGGGCAACAUUGCUCUGGAAGUGUUAAUAAAAAUCUUGUCUUCCAAGCUGUAAACAGGUUAUGAGAGCUAAUACACUCAGGUGAAUGUAUGUGGAAUCUGUGUUGAUGGACACUUCUAAGCAAGCCGUUAAAGCAAAGAACCGGAAGUCCCCCAGUAAGCUGAUACUGUGCCUUUAAAAAGCUUCUGUAGUCAGCCUGAAGAUCACAAGCACAAUUACAUCAUUACCUAAGGAAGUUAAAGUUGGAAUUAAAAAUGUAACCAUUCCUGAAAUGAACCUCCUCUGGCACAUCUUGAGGCCAUCACCUCUUGUCCUACCCUCAUUGGAAGAAACUUUUUUACUCAUAUCCAAUCUAAAUCUCCUCUCUUCUAGUCUGAAGCCAUUUCCCUAAAUUGAAUUUACAACUGAGCCCCAGGCUUGGUGUUUGAGCAGUGUUGUUGAUGCUGAGUCAGUGCAGUUAGCACUGAAAGCACUUGACAGCUUUCACAGAUCAAAGCUUGAUUGCCUGUAGGUCUGCUAACCUGAAAGUAAGGCUGUAUGAAAUAGACUUGAUUUCUGUAUUUGAUUUCAGUUGAUUAUCUUAGCACACUGUACUAGAUCAGGAUGUCUAAAUAAGUUCAUUACAUGUUGUUAAACCAUUUUUUUUCAGGAGUUGUAAUAGAAGUUCAGGUAGUUUUCGAGGAGCUACUGUUGUGAUGUCAGACAGCAUACUGAAAGAUCUCAUUAGUGACAAAGCCCAUUUAUAUACUAUGAAAAGUUAACAGCGUUGAAUCUUAUGUCGUCUUUAACAUUUGAGUGCAAUUCUAAUGUUGCUGAAUCUGAGUUUGUCCAGAAUUCAGCUGGGAAACAUUCUCCCUUUAGAGGCCUGUGUUAGCUGGGAGGUCACAUUGCCUUUGCUGAUGAGAAAACAGAGUCAUGUGAGAGGAAAGACCUAAAAUUGACAGGAAGUAUAAGAUGAUGGUUUUUAACACAUAGGUGUUGUGUGUUAUAACAAAGUGCUGGAACGUUCCAUAAUAGGAUGCGGAGUAGAUAAGGAUUCCUAAAGAAUUGGGAAAAGUUGAAUGACAGAUGAAGUGAUUUUUUAUCAGUAGUUCAAUAGUGGGUUAUUUCUCAGGGGUGUCAUUUAGCAUCUGUGCUGUUGUUUUGUCAAGUCAAUUAACCUGUGUCUCCCAACAUCUCUCAGAACAGCACUAAAAGUAUUUCUUAAAUUACAUUCUUUGAUUUACAGACUGAUGUAUCAAUGUAUGUGUGUCAUAUGCCUCCACAUUUGCAACCUGUAAGCUUUAGAAGGCCGAGGAGGAGAUGAGGUAGGAAGCUGCAGAAAGACAGCAGUAGCCUGUGGUCUGUGGGUAGACUGUGUAUGCAUGCACGGUAGUGUCAAAGCCUUUGGUGGAUGGGAGCAGUGAUUGGGGCUGUGACAAUGGGAUGACUGGAUUCUGGAUUGUGAGUCUCCAGAGCAGCUUGGAAGUCCCUGGGGCUCUGCAGGGCUUAAUAUGGGAGGCUGUGGAUCCUAUCAGUAGCAGCAAUUCUUUUAAUGCGUACUGUCAGCUUGCUUUUAUGUUCUUUAUAAGGUCAAUUUACAGCUCGUCUCAGGACAGCUGAUUUCAACCUUGAUGCUAAUUAGAACAACGAAUGAGCUUUGAUUUCUGAAAAGAUGAUGGAAUUUUUUCUUUAGCACACGCUGUGAAUCUUACAUAAAUGCAAGGCGGUGUAAGUUAGAUUUUGGGUAGUCGUUCAAAUAUUUGAUAUAUCUGUUAUUGUUUAUAAACUACCAAGAGUGGGUUUGAAUUUUAAUUCUGUUUUUGAGUGUCCUCCCUCUAUUAGCUUGUAGUAAAAGUGCUACAUGUUUGUAGUGGCUGCUGAGUGCUAAAUACUUGCACCUAAAAUACUGCUUUUAAUUGCAUUUGAAUAUCUCACAUAGCCAACUACUGGAUGGAUAUCACUUCACCACUGAGAUAUGGAAGAAGCCAGCAUUUCCUUUGUCAUACAAGUUGUGUGAAGAAAGCUGGUCAAGGCUUUGAAAUAUUUCUUAGCAAGAAGAUGAAUUGAAAGCAGUGUGGCAUUUUUGUGUUUUACUCCUUGUCUUUUUGCAUUCCUCUGAUGUGAAAGUCUGUGAUGAGCAUAACUGGAAGGCUUUGGAAGCUUGCAUGGCAUCUUUUUCACUAGUAGCAGUGUUAGAAAUUCGGACCGUUCCCUUAGAAUGCCCCAGAUACCUAUUUAAUGUAUUAUAAAAUUCUUGAUGUUUUAAUUAUAAUGGGUUUUGAUCCAUGUGUUUUGGAUUGCUGUGUUGGAAGGGCCUGUUUUCAAACCAUGACUCAUCUUUCUUCUUGACUGAAUUAAUUCUUCAUGCAUCCCUGAGUGUCAUAAACCAAACCAGAGCUUGUUAAAAUGUCUCAAUAUCUGUCAGCUGUAAGUUCUGAUGUAAUUAUUUUCUUCUUUGGGGAAAAGAAGAGCUAAGCAUUAAGAUUAGUAUCAACUAUUAGGCACAGUUAAGAAUACCAGCGUACGGUAUCUAUUUUUCAGAUUCUGUAUCUAUGCAACCACUUCCCUUCAGCACAGCCUGCCCCUUCCUUUGCUUUGCACGCCCUCUCCAAUUCUGCAUCUUUGGCUCCUUGAGUUUCUGUUCUUGUCAGUUCUUGACAUCAAGUCUCGGUUUCCAGAUGUGUGUCCUUUAAACAGUUCUUUGUAACAUUUUCCAGCCCUUUUUGUGAUAGACCAUGAGGGAUACUCUAUUUGUUAUCUACUUUUCUUUACGAUCACUUUUGAGGUGCUGUUUCCAUUUUGGCUCUAGUUGCUGGCCGGCCGUAAGACUCUUAUCUCCCUUCUCUUAAAUUCAGACUUCCCUUUUUUGCACUAAGUGGUAUCAAACUCUUUAUAAGCUGCUUAAAUGAGGAGGAGGGGCUGGUGACAACGUCUAUUUAUGCGACUUGUUUCAGUGCUCUUGCACUGCUCUUUACUUGAGUAAGUACUGUGCAUUGACCUGAGUGACUUUCUUGAAACUUAGACUAUGUGAAUUGAUGAUACUCUCCAAUUGACACUUAAACUUCUUCACUAAAGGACAUUUGACUCUUUUAAACUGUCACUGCUGACUGCAUCAGCUUUCUUUUUCUCCUAGGCCAUCUCAGAUCCAUUUAAAAAUAUCCUUGCAACUGUUCCCAUAGCCCUAGUCUUUGCAAUCAGCACAUUGCUGAAUAAAUCUGUUAAACCUGUUAAAAUCUAGGAACUUAGGAGAAUCAGUUGUCAGAGGUAGAUGCGCUGCUUACACUGCUUUGAGUGUUCCUAACCUAUUUGCAUGAAAAGGGAAUUACAGCCAACUGUAAUACAUAAUAAUAAUAUCUAUACCAGAUAAUUCUGGAACAAAUAGGUUAACUUGUAUUUUCCUUUGUCAGAUGAUAACGUGCUCCAUUUGAUUUCCAGCUAGGUUCUCAUCUGGUAUAUUUGCCUCAGUCUGAUACAUGCUUCAGGUAUAUCUGUAUAUUCUCAAGCAGACCUUGUUGCAUUUUCUUGCCAAAGUUAGGAAAAGAUUUGUUUUUCCUACUGGGUGUUGCCUGACUGCUGUAGCUCAUUUGGUGCUUCUGGAAAGCCCUCUGCAAAGAGAAGUAGUAUUUCUCUUUUCUAAUGCUCGGAGCUUUGGGUAUUAGUUGUGUGAAACUGAUCUAAUGAUUAUCAGUUUUCUUGCUGCCUGUUCUGUCUUUCAGUGCUAUAUCUGAUCUUGGUGCAAGCAAACUAAGGAAGUUCAGAGGCUUCAGAAGACAGCUGCUGUUAGCUUUGCUUGCUUGCUUUUGCAUUGUCACAGCUCAUACUUUGAAGAGGCAGGGCUGUUCAUCCUACAGGUAAUGCAAAUGCUUACCUUAAAUUGCUUUCAAAAAUAUUUUAGAAAUCAGUGUAAAUUUCCAAGCAGAGUAACAAGUAAUCAUCAUUUCCAUAGCGUGCUAAAGCACUGUUACAUGCAUUGCAGAGAGAAGACAGACUAUCUUUACACUCCCUUGGGCUCAGGGACGAUAGCAUUUGGCUGGAAGUACUAUAGAGAAUAUAUAUACAUUAUAUAUUUUAUUUUCUCUAUUCUCCCUAUUCCAUAUAUAUAUUUAUAUAUAUAUGUAAUAUAUGAAUAUGUUUUUUUAUCCUAUUUCUGUGAACUUUUGGGGGGAUGUAUUGCAAUAAAUUGCGUUCUUGCUCAGUUGUUCUGAAGAGCUCUUUGCUGAAGCUCCCUGGUUUAUCUUUUUAGAGCACCUGGAAGUGCUGAUGAUUAAACUGGCAUACUUGAAAGCAGCCUUGUGAGAGUAUAUAAAGCAAAUCAGAGUUCAAUAUGGCCUUAGGUCAAAUGAAUAUCUUUUAAUAAAGUAACUCUUCCUGUUUUAAUGUAGGUCAGCCAGGGGUUGGCUCUCAGUUUGGUUGGACUGCUGUUCCUUGGCUUUGUGUUGGUGUGGAAGCUUUGAAUGCUUCAGACAAAAACUUUUACCUCCAAUUUGGUGCAGAGAAAGGGAGACGGUAAGGGAGCCUUAAGAGCCUGCUUGGUGUUUUACUGGUAAAACUGGUGGUUUGACUCAUGGUAGUUUCGCGUUUCAUCAUUUGCAGGCUGUGAGAUGUUAGAUAGUGGCUUAAGCAUGAUUUGGUUUUUUAUUACUGGUGAAAACUGUCCUAGUCCUAGUUUUUUGGCGAUGCUUGGAUGUGUUGCCUUAAUGCUGAAUGAACUUUGGUUUCCUCUGCUCUUCAGAUUUGGAAAAAUAAAGUAAUCUGUAGUUGCUUUUCUUUCACACAGUCACACACUGCUUGCCUGGCUGUCAUUUCUUUAACUCUUUAACUCUCAUAAUCAUGUAAUAUCGUAGUUGUUGGUUAAAAUCUUCAGUCAUGCUUUUUACUUCUUCUGCAUAGGAAAAAGAUUAUCGACUUCUAUAAAACUCUUCAACUCCACUUUUGUUAUUUGUAAAGUUCGGUGUCGUUUUUAAGCUUACGCCACCUGUAUGUCUUUUAGCUGGUUUGGUACUUGGAUUACUGGUCGGGCAGCACGGUCUUGUUCUUGUUGUCACUAACAGGUGGCACAAGGUGUCUUUGUCCUUGAUAGGGCAGUGCUUCGGGGUGGCUUGGUGAGGCAGCUUUACUGCAUUCAUCUCGUGAGUCCCUGAAGAAGUCUGCUGUGGUCUCUUCUCUAACCAGGGGCACUGAAGGAACUUGGCAGAAGAGCUCUGUGUGCUUGUUUCCUCUGCAAUAAUAUUCCUGAACAGGCAGGACUGUUAAUGCUGUUCUGUCACUACAGGUUUGCUGAUUCUGACCAUCUCUCUUAGAGCUACUGCGAAUCUCUGAGUAAGGCUUAUGCAAUUGUAGUGGGGGUUGGGAUGCUGUCUUGAUGCUGUCUUUUUUUGGUCCCUGUCUUAAGACUUUACAUUGAAUGCGUCUGAAACAGUGAUUAAUGCCAGGUUUCUGAAUGUGCAGUAACCUAGAACAUUGCUUGGGAGUACGGACCCCCAAACAGUUUUUCAUAUAGUGUAAAUUUGAUUUAUGUGGUUUGAAAACAGAGAUUGUGCCCUGUGAAAAAUCAUUUGACGUGAGACCACAUCUUAGUUGUCACUGGGAAUUAAUUACUCCUGUUUGCCAAGUGUUUCAAGGCCUUCUGGUGGCUUAAAUAGUUGCGGAGAACCAGUGCAAACAUGGCCUUUACCUGACAAGUUCUUCCAUAUUCUGGGCUUGAACUUGUGAGCCUGGAAGUUCUCUGCUGUUGCCAGUUACACUAGUAAACCCAGUAAGAGGUUUUAUGGGUGAAACCAGUGCGUUAAUGUAAAUGGAGCAGUUAAGUUACUGCCUUGUUAAUUUUUUGUGGCUUAUCUUGAAGGUACAGAGAACCAUCCAGGCUUCCUAACGCUUGCUCACACGCACGAGAACUUCAGUGCAGUGCUGACAGAACCUUUACCUACAAAAGAUUAAGUUACUUCAGCAUCUUUCUGAGAAACUUCCCUGUCUGCCCCCUGCCAAGGGGCUUUUGAAGAGUUCAUUAUUCAUUUAUGUUCGGCAGAUUAUAGCACUUGGGGAAUUUUCAAUACUCCUGCAAGCUUUAGAAAUGCCGGCUCUGCAAUGGUUGCGUAAGUAGAUGGGGUUGUGUCCUCUUGGCAGCCAUAGAUGGGAACUGCCAAAAGUGAAGCAGCCCCAUAGUUCGUAAGGAAUCGCGCUUUAGCUCCUGAAGUUAUCACGUCUGUUCCUAACACAGUUGUCUCUAAGUUUUAUUCACAGGUUGCAGUUUUUAUGCAAGUUUUGGCAGUGACAUGUCUUGCCAUUUCAUAUGGAAGUUUGUGGUUUUUCAUACAUACGAGGUUUUCCUCCUCUCCUUCAGAUAACAAGGAUUGUUUCUUGUUAAACAUGGUACAGUCUUCUCUACCUUGUGUUAAAGACUGUGCUACGUUUGUCUCCAGUCCUGCUAAAUCUCUACUUGACAUCUUUCAUGUACUGUGAGGGAAUUCAUCAGAUGAAACAAUAAAUUUUAAUAUUCAAAGCACAUUACAGAUACAACAAUCAAGUUACAGUAGGUUCAAAGCAACCCAAUUAUCCUUUCUGGUUUUAUAUCUCUGUCUGCCAAUUGCCAUGUGAGGUGGGCACAUAUCCCAAUGCAUGGUACUGGUGAUGCUAACUGUACCUUUGGACUUGACGGCUCCAUUUCACAUACAGACAUGGGAAAAGUACUUUGCAGUAAAGCUGUUUUCUCUCUCUAUUCUUUCUACUUUGUGAACUGUUCCCUGAUGUUCCUCUUGUGGCCUUAGGAAUCAGUCUAUCUUAGGUGACAACUUUUUCUUGCAGACACCUGUAGUUCAUUUGCAGAUGAGUGGUGGGCGUAUGGUAUAGACUUAUGAUUAAGUCACAUACUUCAUUUUACCUUCGAGAUCAUGAAACCUUUUAUUUCUUCUGAAAGCUCUGCAGUUGUAACUGAUUUCAGGCUCUGGCAUCAACGUAGACGAAUAGGGAUCACAGUUGCUGCCUUAACUGGCCCGAUUUUACGACAUUGAUCUUUGAUCCUCAACACUUGGAAACAUUAAAAUCUAAAACAAGUGCUUUUGUUCUGUUUGAGUACAUGUACUUUUAUUUCUGCCUUGUCUUUGAUAGUCAUUAUGUGAAAAGGCUGAAGAAAACACUGAAGAUACUGAGCUUUUAGAACUGUCUGUGUAUCCUUAAGCUUUCUUGUCUGAUAGAGAUUUUGGCAACAGUAGCUUUCUCUAAUUUCACUUCUUGCUUCAUUUGGCUUAGGGCUUCCCUGUGAUAUCCUAGAAUAGAUGUUUGCCUGUGACGGCCUUAAGCCAUUAAUAUCUCAUUUUGGAGGGGACCCCUGAACAGCGUAGUGUUUAAAUAAAGCAUAGCCCAAGUGACUGGCCUGAUGCCAGCCAGAGGACAAGUGGCUUCCCUUAAAAUGCCUGACAGAGCUUGAGCACAGCCCUGCCUGCAUUAGGUGGUGACUAAGGAGGGCUGAGCAGGCUCUGCCACAGACACGUGCAGCUGUCCUCACCUACUGCACCUUGGGCUGAUGGGCUGUGUGAUGGAAGCCCAUGUGCUAACCAGGGCAGAAUCUUCUCAGGACCCACCUUUUCUGCUACCAAUAAACGUAUCCAAAAUACCGUUCUCAUAAUAUGUCUUUUUAAAUGUGUCAAAGUGAACUCAGACAUUUUUUCCAUACUUGCAAAGAACAACAAUACCAGGAUACUGUAACUGCUUUAGCCUGACUUGAUCCUUACAGUAAUCCCCAAUCUAGCAAUCCCCUUUGCCUUGCUUCAUUAUCUCUGAUGUCUGCAAUUUAAACGUCAUGCUCAAGAACUAGAUUUUUUAUCCCUUUUUUUUUGAGUUCCUUCAGUACUGAAGGGCUGAAGGGCACGGAGUGCUUUCUUCAGAGGCGGGAUUAAUGAAUGGAGGCUAUUUCAUGAAUAACAAAGUAAAAAAGCACUUGAUCGGUUACUUCUUGUCUGAGCUGUUGAAAACAUUGAUCAGUGUUUUCCGCAAUUGUAGAAUCAGCCCCUGGAGAACAUUAGUUAGUUGAAGGAAGAGUGAAGAACGUACUAACUUUACCUCGGCAGACUGAAAGUGGAAACAUUGAGCACCUUUUUACAUUGAGAUGGAGGAAUGACGUGAUAGCACUUCUUGGUUUCUGUUUUUCUUUAUUGUGGGGAUGCAUGUGGUUUAAUGUCCUCAACAUGAGAAGCUUCAGGAACUUGUGCAGGAGCAGAGUCAAAGAAGCUGAAAUUGCAAGAGAAAUUCCUGAAUAUCUCUUAUAGUAGAAUAAAUUGCCUUUCUCUAACUUCUUCAUGGACUUCUAAUGACCCACACUCAUAAUUUGGAAAACAAAUGUAUCAUAAAAGCAGUAACUUAAAAGCAAGUCACUGUUCAAGUCUAAUCUUUGUGUUCUAAUGCUUAGCAUACAUCCUAAAAUUAAGUAGGUUUUAAUUCCUUGGAUACCUUUUGAGAAUCUGUUGCUUGUGCUUCCUUGCUGUUCCAUUCCUGCUAUUGCUUACAUGGAUAACACUGGAGUGUAAUGUGGAGAUCAGAUUUGACAUCCAAAUUGCAGAAGAUAAAUGAGGUGGUUCCCAGAUUUCAGAUGCUGUAGUGGAGUUUUGGACAAGACAAAGAUGAUGGUCAUGAACAUAUAUAUCUAUAUAUGUAUGUGUGUACAUAUUCAUAUAUAAAUAUACAUAUAUGAGUGGGACACAAGCAGAGCUGAAGCUCUAGAAAUACUGAUUCAUACGAUGGCUCAGUAGGCUCAAUAAUCUUCUGAGCUGGAUUCAUCUUGGAAAUAAUGCACCUUAAACUUAGGUUAUACUCUCUUAGUUCACUUAGUCCGUUCUGUGGUCGGACUCUUUGAAAUGCUGUUGAGAACUGGGGGGUAAACAGCACAGCAGUUGAGUUGCGCCAACUUUUGUAUGCUUCGUUAAGCCAUCUGAGUUCCUGGCUUCACUUAAUUCUUUUGAAUCACAACAUCUCACUGACAUGAGGAUGGUUCUGAGGGCAUCAGGGUGGAUUUAUUCUUUCACCAUUCAAGGAGAAGUUUAGUGCUGGACAGCCUCUAAUUCUAAGGAGUGAGUGUUUGGGGAGUUGAGUUGUGCUCGGUGUUGGGUGUACAUCUGUGGGAAGUCCGUAGUAAUUACUCAAAGCAAGUACUGUGUAGCAGUGCAAGAAGUUACUUCUAUAUUUUGGCUGUUAGUCUGCCCUAUUAUCAUCUCUUAAUUUUAGUUUAGUCAUUGUUUGUUGGUAACUAUGCUUCGAUAUCCUUAAAUAGAAUUUUUUUACUCUUAGUGUCUACAGUGAAAAGCUUCAAAGCAGCCUGAUUGCCCUUUGAGUUAAACACAAAGGCUGCACUGCUAGUGAUCUUAUCUAUAGUGACAUCAUCACAACUUUGCUUGUGAUCAUCAGUAAAGUGCUUUGUUUCUCUUCACUGAUCUUUCUGGUAUUACAGGCUGCUCUCAGGCUAUGACUCUGCUUCUCUGGAUUGAGGGAUUUCUUUUAAAACCAACAACAAGGAAACAAACAGAAAAGCAAGCAAAGAAAACAGUCACAAAACCUCUUGAAUUUGAUUUAACCAAACAGCAUGUUCAUGCUGUUUCUUGAAUAGGAUGGCUGGAGAUGAUCUCGCUGUGUUUUUCCAGUUGUGUUUUAUUCCUGCAUGACUUGUUUUAAGCCAUAUUUGUUGUGGUAUCUACAGAAACUUUGGGCAGGUCUUUCAUCUGUGCUCUGGCAAACUCCUUGUAGGUUUUAAUUGCUCCGGUAAGUGACGUAUUAAAAGUACAAAUUACAGUUGGUGAGAUAUUGAAUAUUUUUCUGACCAUGCAUUCAGGUAGUUGAGUAUUAAUGUGGCUCAAAGCCUCCUGGGCUUUGUGUGAAACUCGUCCUAAGAAAUGUUUAAGCAACUAUGGAUAUGUCUGUGUGACGUGUUCUAUUUAUGCAGUAGUUUUUGUAGCCUUCAUAAUAAAUGCUGUCCUUAAUUUAGCUUGCCAAUUUCCCUAUUAAUGAAGAAUAUGGAACGAACCUAUGUGACAGCCAAAGCUCUAAUAACUCAUUUAUGGUCACUUACCAAAACAAAAAACAACAACAACCCAACACCAAAACUCUUCAGCAAGCUGACAGUUCUUCACUGUUAGACCUUUGGAAACAGCAGUACGUGGAAAACAAGGUAUGAAGGAGGAGGAAGAAGAAUUCUCUGCAACAGAACUCUCUCAGUAAGAGGAUACUUGUCAAUAUAGUUGUCCUUAGCCAGCCUGCUUUGGAUGAGCACGUACAGCACUGAUCUCAGGCAGAGAGACUGCAGAGUAUUUGAAGUAACUGUUGAAGAAAGAAACCAAAACACACUUUUUUAUGGGUAAUCUACAGAAGAAAAAAAGACUAAAGGCCAUUAAUAGGUUAUCCAUAACCAGUGAAAUGGCACAGCUGCUGGAAGGAGGAAGAUCAGUGAAGAAUAUAAUUACAAACGUUUGUUAAAGGAGCAAGAUGCUUGACUUGCAAACUUCUGAAAUUACUUUUGUGGCAUAUUUUGAUUUAUCUCGAGUGAACUGAUUUUCCUUCAGCAUUCAGAACUUGGUUAGCCCUCUGUUACUAGACUCUGCACUGUUCUUUGACUGGUAAUGAUUUCAAUCUAGAAGUCAUGAUCUUACUGCUGAGUAACCAGGAAGUAACUUGUAGGGAUCUUAGAGCACUGAAGAAAAUCUCAGGACCAUUAAAGAAGUAUAAGGCUAUUCAAAAUA